AAAUUUAAUUUAAUUCAAGUUAUUUACAAAAUAAAAGUAAUACAUUAACAAAAUUAAUACCUAACCAUGGCCUACAAAAUCAAUACAACUUUAUUAUUAACUAUUUUAGUUUUAAUCGGUUUGAGCACUGUUAGCCUAAACAACUGGGUAGACGCUGCUGCUGCCGGUGCUGCCGGUGCUGAACACAACAACAACAACAAUGCUAAUGUUGCCAAACGGUCGAUACCAAACAACCUACAGGUGCCCGAAUCGAUGUCAUCAUUGGGUGAUUUGUUGAAAAAACUGCUAUCAAUACCAAUUGUAUUACCUAUAGGUCUAUUAUUUUUAUCAAUGUUGGUGCCGUUUGUAGGCAUACUAACUUUCCCUAUACUAAUACUAUUGUUACCGUUUGCAUGGGUUAUUAUGAACUUUCUAAACAAUUU